UUAGCAUGCAAGUCGAACGGGAUUGGGGCCCUUCGGGGCCUCAUGAGAGUGGCGAACUUUUGAGUAACACGUAGGUGAUCUACCCUUGGGUGGGGAAUAGCCCAUGGAAACAUGGGAUAAUACCGCAUGAGGUCUUUGGGCGUGAAGCCCAUGGAUGAAAGGAGCAAUUGUUCCGCCUGGGGAUGAGCCUGCGGUCCAUUAGCUAGUUGGUGUGGUAAGGGCGCACCAAGGUGACGAUGGAUAGCCGGCCUGAGAGGGUGAACGGUCACACUGGGACUGAGACACGGCCCAGACUCCUACGGGAGGCAGCAGCUAAGAAUCUUCCGCAAUGGGGGAAACCCUGACGGAGCGACGCCGCGUGGGCGAAGAAGGCCGCAAGGUUGUAAAGCCCUUUUCUUGACGAAGAAUAAGGUCAGGAGUGGAACGCCUGGCCGAUGACGUUAGUCGAGGAAGAAGCCCCGGCCAAUUACGUGCCAGCAGCCGCGGUAACACGUAUGGGGCAAGCGUUGUUCGGAAU
rnacentral:rRNA from 1 species